CUGGGAACCCUUCACAAGCCCUGCUAACCUUCUACAGGAUGACAGCCUCGUAGAGGAAGGUCCCAACCACAGCAGCCAUCCCCGCUGAAGCCCCCCACACACAAGUGAGGCUACCCUGGAUCAGCCCCAGGAAAGAACACCUGAUCAGGGAUGUGCCUGUCCUACACCCUGAUCCUUGUCAUCCCAGCCCAUCGCCGCGAGAUCGCAGCCAAGCAAGGGAAGCCAAAUUAUGGAAUAUCUGGCCAGAGACUAUACUGCAGUUCUCCUGUUUCCUGGAUGUAGAGGAAAGAGCAGACAGAUCUCAGAUUGAAUCCCUGCUCCUUAGGCAAAGCACUAGACCUGGCUGAGCCUCGAUCUCUCUAACACGGGAACCCCACUAUCUCCGUGUGGAUUGUCAGGAAGAUUAAAGAAGGCCAUCCAUGAGGAUCCAAUUUAAAAACUUGGAUGUGAAAAAUGGGCAGAAGAACAAAAUAGACAUUUCUCCAAAGAAGAUAU